rnacentral:misc_RNA from 1 species
UCCGGUUUGUCACCGGCAGUCUCCCUAGAGUGCCCUUGCGUAGCAACUAGGGACAAGGGUUGCGCUCGUUGCGGGACUUAACCCAACAUCUCACGACACGAGCUGACGACAGCCAUGCAGCACCUGUGUUACGGCUCCCUUUCGGGCACACCCAGCUCUCGCUGGGCUUCCGUACAUGUCAAGGGUAGGUAAGGUUAUUCGCGUUGCAUCGAAUUAAUCCACAUCAUCCACGCUGUAAACGAUGGAUGCUAGCCGUCAGCAAGCAUGCUUGUUGGUGGCGCAGCUAACGCAUUAAGCAUCCCGCCUGGGGAGUACGG